CAUCGGAUGAUUUCUCGAAAGAGUUGAAAGCUUUAUCUAGGAGGAGUCGGCGAAUAACUCCACCAUCACCCAGGAUUAAUGCUCCUGUUCACUUCAAAAGCCCUCCUCCAUCACCUCGACCUCCUCCGCCGCCACGGUCACCACCACCUCCAUGUCUGUGGCGUCCACCUACUGCGUUUGGAUAAGACGAUUGUUUCCCAGGUUACACACAGUUGAUGAAGCUCUCAUGUCAUCAGCUUUUGUUUGUAAAUUGUAAAACUUUAAAGUGCUUGUAUGUUAGCAGCAAAUACCAACUUUGUUUAGCUCUGAUAAUAAUUAAAUUUGUAAUGAUAAAAAUAAUAAUAUGUUAAAUAUAAAAAUGAAUAAAUGUAUGCAUCACUUUCACUUAAACACUCUUUAAGAAAUUGUUUAAUAAGUAUCCCUUGUCUUCCCUUCCCAUCUCUUUGAAGUCUCCCGACCAUCUCUAUAUGUAGCAUAAAUGAUGAGCAGCCCUCCAUCAACGAGGACCCGGGUCCUCAAAGGCCAACUCAAAAAAGCAUCUCAAUCUAAGAGAGGAGGGUAGCCUUUUCAGUGCAGUGCUUUCAGGGUUGAAUGAGCAUCGAGGUCUUUCGAGAUUGGGGUUUUCUCGUAGGAAAAAAAUGAAAAAAUCAUCUUGAUAAUAGUCCUUUUAUAGAUCGGGUGGACAAAGGAAUAGCAAGCCUUUGGAAGGAAGAAAAAGCUAACAUAUGGACGAAGAUCGGGUGAAUGAGAUAAUUCCCAGAUUCAUUUCAAAAACCUCGAGAUUAGCCUUGGCCGAACACAGGUAAACCGUCCAGACCCCACUCAAACCAUAGUCCCCUCAAAGGCCAACUCAAAAACAACAAUCUCUACGUCUAUGGAGCCUGGACUGCAGAAACUGAGAAACCUCCAAUUCCAAGCUCCCUGGUUCGGUGCAACUUGGACUUUCUGGGAAGGGCAUUAAAUACCCAACCAACAUAUUUAUUUUGGCCACUUCACUCUAGAGGGAUCAUGGGCCGAGUUUGUGCCGGGUUCAGAUAAAAUUUUAGGCCCGUUUUAUUAGCCCGGAUCUGACUCGGUCUGGCCCAAAAUAUAGAUAUAAAAAUUUAUUUAAACUUGGCCCGAAAAAAUUAUUAAGCCGAGCCUGACUCGGCCUAUAUUAAUUUUUUUAACUUAUUUCAUUAAAUAAAAAAUUUAAAACAAAUAUUAAAACAAAAAACAAAUAAAAAAUGAGACUAAAACAAUUCUUAAAACAAUACACAAAUUGAAAAUAUAAUAAAAAGUGAUUAUAUUAAAAUUGAAACAAAUUAGAACUAAAAUAAUAACUAAAUUAAUAAUAAAACAAAAGUAUAUUUGAUUAAAUAUAAAAUAUAUAUAUUUAAUAUAUAAUUCGUGCCAGGCCGGGCCGGGUCUGGCCCAAAAAAAUUUUACCUGAGGCUUAGCCCGUUUUCUAAACGGACCUCAUUUUUUUGGCAUAAACUUAUAUUUUGAAUAUAUAUUUUUAUCUAAAUCUUUUUAUUUUUCAAGUAGAUUAUCGGGCCAGGCUAAAUAACUUAACCCAUGAUCACCUCUACUCCACUUCAGUAAUCAUUUGACUGCAGCCAAACCAAUAUCAAGUUGAUGGGACUGGGGGUCAAAAUUCAUGCACCAAGCAAUCUACGCUGCUAGACCCAAGACCAUUCUUCAGCUUGAUGAGCCCAAUGACCAGAGCCAAUGCUCUACGACUAGCUCCAUGAAACCCAAAAUGCAGCAAGAGACUCAUUGUAACGCCCCACUUUUGUUGUGUUUAGAUUGUUAAAGUAUGUUAAAUAAUUUAAUCUGGUAUGUGGUUAAGCGUCUUAAAUGUUUGUUUUAGGUCUUGACUUUAAUUCUUUUAUUUUGGAUUUUUUAUUAAUUUUGAUGUUAUGUUAAGCUUGACGUUUUAGGCUUAUCUUUUUAUUUUAUUAGAUUGUUGAUAAGGAUGAGCUUAUUAAUCUAGUAAACCGUCCAUUAUUCUCUCACCCCCUUCCACCUUUUUUCUCCCUGUUAUUGUUUUCUAUUUGGUUCUUUCCUCUCUUUUUUCUUUUUUUCCUCUUUGAGCUUUUUUCUUUUCUUUUGCUUUGAAUCUCCGAUUUCGAUUAUAAUCCAAAGAUAACGUAAGUUUUGUUAAAUUAUUUUGUUGUUAUUUUGGUGUUAAUUCGUUGUGCAAGGGUGAAAUUAUUAGUUUAAUCCUUUUAAUAUAUUAUGAUAAAUAUUCUAUUGAUUCUCUUAUCAGAUUAAAGGGAUGUGAAUCGAAACCCUAAAAUUUUUGGACUAUUUAUUUUAUAAUUUUAAAUGAUAAAAAUAUUAUAUUUUUAUAAAGAUAUAUACUAUUCAAAUGAUGAAAUUAUAUUUUUAUUUUUAUAAAAAUUAAAUUUUAAUUUUAACAUUCUUAAAAAUAUUUUCUACCUUCCCCUCUUCCCUUACCGAUCAUAAACAUGGACAUCAAUCCUAAACAUGGACAUCAUAUGGCGAACAAAAUUUAUAUAAAUUUAAAAUUUUUUAAACACGGUUAUGUUUUUCUCCAGGUUUGUCCUAACCUCACUUGGCACCUUUUCCUCUUACAUAUCUUGAAAUAAGGGAUGUAAAAAAUAUGAAAAAAUUGCAACAAAUAGUUUUGAUAGUAUGCUCCGAGUGUAGCAUUUGGUGUCUGCUGGUUAUUAGUGUUUUCUUGUGUGUGUCGACUGUUGGUGUUUCUUAUGGAGGAAGGGUUAGCAGAUCUGCGUUUAACGGAGGAAGGAGACAAUAAGGAGUUGGAAGCUUGGGAGAUUGAACAGAAUAAGGAGAUAGAAGACUCUUUUUCGGAGUUGUGCUUGGUAGGGUGUUUUCUAACAGCAACUCUGAUAAAUUUUUAGGCUAUGCGGACUGUGAUGGCAAAUCUGUGGCAUUCUUUGGGGGGAGUUUCCAUUGCAGAUGUGGGUGAGAAAAGGUUUGUCUUUCAAUUUUAUUGUGAAAUGGAUUUUGAUAGGGUGGUGAAGGGCGCUCCUUGUACUUUUAACAACCAUUUACUUGUUUUUCAUCACUUAAAACAAGGCAAAGAUCCCUUGGAAGUGGAUUUAUUAUAUACCAAGUUCUGGGUUCAAAUUUAUAAUCUGCCACCUAGUUUCUUUACGGAAGCUAUUGCUAAAUAGUUUGGAGAUUUUAUUAGAGCCUUUGUGGAGUACGAUGUCAAAGCGAUUAUGGAGGGAUUAAGAAAUUAUAUGCGGAUUAGAGUUAAAGUUGAUAUCCGGCAAAGUCUGAAGAGAAGAAAGAAACUUAUUAUGGCAAAAAAAGAGUUCUUUACUAAUUUCAAAUAUGAAAGGUUGUCAACAUUUUGUUUUCUGUGUGGCAAGCUCGGACAUAGUGAGAAUUGUUGUCCUAUACGAAUGGUGACAGGGAGAAAGGAGCUUCCUCUUGAAUGGGAUAUCUCGCUCAAAGCUCCUCCACGUAGGGCGGCGACGGUAGGCAGUAUUUGGUUAAGGGAACCAACUGAAAUUUGGGGAGUGUAUCAGGGAAUUUCUAAAAAUGAUGAAGGCAAACAAGGAAAGAAUCUGGGGGAAUUAAAUCUAAUGAGGAAUAAUGGAACGAAUUUGGGGUUGAAUUUAUAUGAAAAAUCAAAACAGAUUGUGAAUGAGGAGUUGGUGUUGAUGGAAGUUGGGUCUACUAAAGAGGAUCGGCCCAUUAUUGGAGGAGAGAGGAAAAAGAGGCCUAGACCCAAUAAUAUUCAAAAUGCCUCUACCACCGAUGAUAUGAUAUGGAAAAAUGGGUUAAUGGAGGAUGUUAAUCAAAUCAACCAUACGGCUGAACUUGCAGGGCAGGUCAACCGAGCAUUAUGAAAAUAUUAAGUUGGAACGUCCGUGGGCUGGAGAACCCACGGUCUGUUCAGAAAAUUCAGCAUGUGCUGAAAAAGUACUGUCCCCAAGUUUGUUUUUUUAUGGAGACAAAAGUAGAGAAAUCGAGAAUGGAAAGGAUAAGAAAGAAAUUUGGUUUUGCGAAUGGGGUGGAUAUUUCAGCUCAAGGAUCACGAGGGGGUCUUUCUUUGAGUUGGUGUAGUUCGAUGGAUGUUACCAUCUCAAGUUAUUCUGGGAAUCACAUUGAUGCAGUUAUUGUUAAUAGUGAUGGGGCGACAAAGUGGAGACUAACAGGGUUCUACGGUAUUCCAGAUUAUCAGUGGAGAGAUAUUUCUUGGGACUUGCUAAAGCGGCUGAGCACGAACAAUGAAUUGCCUUUGGUUGUUGUAGGGAUUUUAAUGAGAUUUUAUUUAGUUCUGAGAAACAAGGAGGUCGAUUGAGGGAAGCAAGGCAAAUGGAGGCUUUUCGAUCAGCUUUGGAAGAUUGUGAGCUGGUGGAUAUAGGGUAUUGCGGCCGAUGGUACACGUAGGAAAAGGGGAAUUUUGAGGCAAAUAAUAUAAUAGAGCGGCUUAAUAGGGGAGUGGCUACUUUGGGUUGGACUGAGAUGUUUCCGUUCUCCCGGCUCCUUCACAUUGAUAAUUCAACUUCUGAUCAUUGUCCUCUGUUGUUGGAUACGGAAUUUUCAACAAGCAAUGGUAAUUCUUCAAAUUCAGGGUGUUUAUUUCGCUUUGAAACUGCUUGGUUGUUAGAAGAUUCUUGUCAUGAGUAGGUUAGAUCUUUGUGGGACUCCAAUAAAAAUGUGUCAGUGCCUGAAAGAUUAACACUGAUGGGUGAGGGGCUCCGAAGAUGGGCUAGCCAUUUAAAGAAUGAGAGGGGUGCGAAUAUGAAGAAGCUGUCAGACUAAUUAAAUAAACUGUCUGAGGAAGAUCCUUCAGAUGACAUUCUCGAGGCUAUGAUUAAGACUAGAUUAGAGCUGAAUCUCGAGAUUGAUAAGGAAUAGCUCUAUUGGGAGCAAAGGGCUAGAUUGAAUUGGUUAAGGUAUGAGGAUCGGAACACUAGUUUUUUCCAUAAUCUUGCCUCAAGCAGACGUCGUAAAAAUAAGAUCGCUAGGCUGAAGGACCAAAAUGGGUCCAUCAAAGAUACGGACGAAGAUCUUAUGCGAAUUGCAACCAGUUAUUUUAAAGGACGGUUUGCGAGUGAGGGAAGUAGAGGAGCUCAAAAAUUUUUUGAAGGGGUCCAAAAAAUGAUAACAAUUGAGAUGAAUAGGAUGUUGCUGGAUACUUUCCGGGAGGAUGAAGUUAGGAGGGUGGUCAAGAAGAUGGGGGGAAAUAAAGCUCCCAGUUUUGAUGGCUUCCAUGCAGUGUUUUUUCAAAUAUUUUGGGCGAUUGUAGGCAAGGAUGUUACAAGCUUUUGCCUUAGAGUACUUAAUAGAGAACAACAGCUGAAUGAGGUUAAUUUUACAACGAUUGUUUUAAUCCCUAAAGUCUCAACGCCAGAUUGUAUGACAGAUUUUCGGCCCAUAAACUUAUGUACGGUGCUUUAUAAAAUUAUAGCGAAAGUCAUUGCUAACAGAUUUAAGAGAGUGUUAGAUGGUUGUAUUGAUGAAGCUCAAUGAGCGUUUGUCCCUGGUCGGCUUAUUACGGAUAAUGUCCUUACGGCUUAUGAAAUUAUACACACUUUUAAGAAUAGAAGGAAAUGGAAGAAGGGUUUUUUUGCUUUAAAGCUUGAUAUGAGUAAAGCAUACGACAGAGUUGAAUGGGGAUUUGUCACAGGUAUGAUGAGGAGUAUGGGGUUUGAUGAUAAAUGGGUGGAGUUGAUAAAUCAUUGUAUUUCUUCGGUCUCUUAUGCUGUUACGAUUAACAGAAGCUUGAGUGAGCCUUUUCAACCGGAACAGGGACUCAGACAAGGGGAUCCGUUGAGUCCCUAUUUGUUUCUUAUUUGUACUGAAGGUUUUUCAACAUUACUUAAACUAGCCAAGAGGGAUGGUCUUAUUCAAGGCGCACGUGUUUGUCGGGGGGGCCGAGGGUAACUAAUUUGUUUUUCGCGGAUGAUUACAUUAUCUUUGGAGAAGCAAAUGAGGAUGGCUGUAGGAUAAUGAAGGGAUUUCUUGAUGACUAUGAGAAAGCUUCAGGUCAAAAGAUUAAUUUAGACAAGUCUCAAAUUUUCUUUAGUUCUAACUAUUCUGAAGAAACUAGAGAGCUGUUGACAAAUUAUUUGGGUGUUAGGUCCGUAACGAGCAUGGAAAAGUAUUUGGGUCUGCCUACAAUGGUGGGGAGGAAGAAGAAUAAGGCUUUCCAAAGAUUGUGUGAUAGGCUGAGAACAAGAAUUGAUGGGUGGGAAAGUCGAAUAUUGUCUCAAGGGGGCAAAGAUGUCUUCAUCAAAGCAGUAUUACAGGCCAUACCGAUUUUUUUAAUGUCUUGUUUUUUGCUUCCAAAGUCAUUAUGUGCUGAAAUGGAAAAGAUUAUGAAUCGAUUUUGGUGGGGAAAAGGAGGUAAUAGGCAUGGUUUGCACUGGUCCUGCUGGACUGAUUUAUGUCAGUCUAAAGAGAAUGGGGGUCUAGAGAGAUUACCUGCUGUUAGAGAGGUGGAUAUCGAUCGAUGGAAACCCCCACAAGCUUCAUGGGUAAAAUUGAAUUUUGAUGCAGCCUACAAAGUUCAAUCGAAUAAGUCCCGUUCGGGGUUCAUCAUUAGAAACGAGAAAGGGGAAGUUAUGGGUAGUGGGAUUACUCUUCACUCCAACGUUUUGGAUGCGGGUUUGGCUGAAGCUUUAGCUUGCUAUCAAGGUCUCCUCUUUGCCAAAGAAAUGGGGUUAACAAAAGUAGAGGUUGAAGGAGAUGCACGGGUAGUAAUUGAGAAAAUCAAUCAGGAAGAAAAUGGUAGAGCACAUUUGGACUCGAUUAUAGCAGACAUCAAAGCAUUUGAAAGGUUUUUUCAUCAGAUUAGCGUUAAACAUGUUAGAAGAGAGGUUAAUCGAGUGGCUCAUCUCAUUGCUAGGGAGGGUUACAGUAGAUUAGAAAAUACAUUUUGGAUGGAAGACAUUCCGGCGAUGGCGAAAGAGCUGGUGGCUACUGAAGAGACGAGCAACGUUUUGUAAUCGACAGAAGGUUUUGUUCAAGGGUGUUUGGACUGGGCUGAUAAAUUCAUUGAAAGCCAUGCUUUAGUCACUAGAGAGAUUUACAUGGUGGUCUGGAGCUUUGUUUUACCGGGUUUCCACUUUACUUUUUCUUUUCUAUUGUUGUUUUUUUCAGAUGUUUUUGGUUUCUUUAACUAUUUUGAUUGGGUUUUGUUAGGUUUUAAUGGAAAUCACGGUUUUUAAUCAAAAAAAUAUGAAAAAAUUGUUCUCUUCAAACUGCAUGCCGUUAAAUUUGGAAGUGCUUGAGGUUUCAUUACGUGUCCAACUGGAGGAAAUAAUAGCAUUAGAUUUUGAAUGGGACAGAAGAGGAAUGCCUACCAUGGAAUUUUGCCUUCUAAAAUUAAACAUACUUGUACUGGAAUGCCUACCUGAAUUGAAAAGUAUUUGCAAUGUUGAUGCAGUGGUGGUUUGUGAAUCCCUUAGAUGGAUUGAUAUAAUAGAUUGUCGGAAAUUAAAAAGAGUGCCUUUUAGUCUUCCCCAAAUCCGAUCAUCUUCACCAACUCUCAUUUUCUAUUUAUGUAGCGAUAGAGGAGUGGUGGAAAUCUGUGAGUUAAAUCCAAAUUCAUUGAACUUUUUGCAAACUAUUUCACUUACCUUUGCUAUUUUUAGCCAAUAAAAUUCUUAUAUAUAUGGUUGGAAGCCAAUGCAACUUUUGGAUAAAAGCCAAAUUUAUCCUUUAAAAGAUUUUUUUUUUGGAAGAUUCUAGAAUAUAAAAUAAAGAAAUAGGAUAUUAUCUAUAAGACUAGAUAUUAUAUAUGAAUAUUCUAGUUAUUAAAUAUUUGUAAAAUUAAUAGUAAGGAUAUUGACAUGUAUCAACAAUCCAACGGCCACUAAACUCUAUAAAUAGGGGUAAAGGCUUUCAUUCUUGUAAUGAUGUAAGAGAGAAGUGUGUAUCAUAUUAUAAUUGUAUUGUGUAUUAAUAAGAGUGUUUUCUUCUUUUGUAAUUGUAAGUCUCGGUUAACCCUUAAGUUUCUAAACACUUAGUGCACUUGGAUUAGCUUUUAUAUAUAGUGCACUAAUAACUUAAAAAAUAAAAGAUUAAUCGACUUCAGAAAUUUAGUGUAGCAUUAAUUGUAGGUCCAGCGAAAUAUCCUUAAAGACAGUAUCCAACACGUCUCUAGUUAUUCAACUUGUAUUUUUUAUUCUUUAAAUUGAAUAUUUACAAGAAUACAUACCAACACUUUUAAUUCUUUGAUUUAUAUUCAUAUAUAUUUAUAUCAUCCAUAUUUAUUCAUACAUUCAAAGUUGGGAGAGCUGUUGUGAUUUCAUGAGCUUGGAGUAUUAAUUUAAUCCCAACAAAACCUUAACAAAUCAUCAGCAAAUGAGAUUCAGUUACAACUGAUUGGAUGAUCAAAGAAUAAAAAUUGUUUCUAUAGUUACGCACUGUAUCGUGAAGAUUCGAGAAUUCUAAAGGAAUAAUUGAUAAGGGAUUAGAUUGGAAAGGGAUUAAUAGAGGAUGUGGGUAACAUGGAAGCAAACUUUGCCAAGUGUCAGACUAUCCUAAGAACAUUAGUUGAUAGUUGAUUGUUUGAAAAUGUAGGAAAUGGAAGAGUGAAAAUGCAUGAUUUUGUAAUAGAUAUGGCUAAACUAAUCACCAAUGAGGUAUAUGAAUCAUGAAUUAAUAUUGCAACUUUAACCUAUGUAUAAUCAAGCUCCAACAUUUAUAAUUUUUUAUUAACUAAAAUGAUGCAAUAAAUCAAAAACAAUCAAAACUUAAAAUAAUUCAAAUUUAAUAAAAAUCAAAAUUAAAAUUAACUUUGUUGAUAUGGUAAUGCAACUAGAAGACAUGGGGAAGGACAUGGUUGUGAUUAUGGAGGUUGGUUCAUCCAGUUGGGAUAGAGAGCCAAAUACUACAAAGAGUGAGAAUGAAGAGAUAUGCAAACAAAGUGUUGAGGGGAACUUUUUUCAUCGUUCUUAGAAGUAUUUAUUGACGGGGUCCUGCAACAGCCCGAUUUUGGGUUUAGUCGGAACAGUAAUUUCAGGACCACAAAUUCGACGAGAAAAAAUCUAAUCGCCUAAAUUUUCAGGGGUGUCGGAACGGUGAUUCGAGAUCACUGAAUCCGACAAGUAAGUAAAAAAUAUUAUUAAUUUAGUGAGUAUAAGUUAAAUGUGAAGUUAAGAAAUUUUUUGAAAUAGUGAAUAGUGCACUAGAAAUAAAUAUUAAAAUAAUUAGAAUAAAAAAUGAGGUAUCGAGACCUCAGAGAUUUUAAACCGAGCCAUAAAUGUUUAUAAAAAUAUUUAUGGAGUGUUAAAAAGUUAGUAUUAAAGUUUCGUUAAGAAAUUUUAAAGUUUCGAUAAUUAAUUGAACAAAAAGGACUAAAUUGUAACAAAUCCAAAAUUAUGGUAAAUGAUUAAAUAGCUUAAAUGAUAAAAGGAAGAGGGCUUAAAAGGAAAAUAGACUCAAUGUCUAUUUGGGCCGGACGGUAAAGGCAUGAAAUCAGCAAGAAUGUACGAAGAAUUAAGGGCAAAAUUGGAAUAUUGCAAAAUUACUUAAUAAAGCUAGGAUCAAAGUGGAAUUAUCGAGAUUUCUCUUUAUUUUUCUGCAUUCUCAUCAGCUAAAACAGCAUAGAAGGGUUUUCUUAAGCUGGUUUUUCAUAUUUUUACUGCAAGUAAGUUCAAUUCUUGAUUAUUUCUUGAAAUUUUUGUGUUUUUGUGACUUUUACAACUAGGCCCACUUGUUGAAUUCAUUAGAUUUUGAUUUUAUGAAAGAAGUUGAAAGUUGCUAUGAAUAUGUGCUGGAAGUAUAUGAUGAUUUAGAAUGGAAUUAGAGCUAUCCUCAGAACACUAGUAGAUAAUUGUUUGUUAGAAAAUGUAGGAAAUGAAAGAGUGAAAAUGCAUGAUCUUGUUAGAGAUAUGGCUAAACUUAUCACUCAUAAGUUGUAUGAAUCAUGAAUUAACAUUGCAACUUUAACACAUGUAUUGUUAAGCUCCAACAUUUAUAUUUUAGAUCAAUUAAAAUCAUACAAUAAAAAACAACCAAUCAAAAUUUAAAAUAAUUCAAAUUUAAUAAAAAUAAAACCCAAAAUUAACUUUAUUGAUAUAGAAAUACAAUAAAGAGGAGAUAUGGGAAAGGACAUGGUGGUGAUUUUGGAGGUUGAUUUACCCACUUGAGAGCGGAGAGCUAAGGACUGCAAAGAGUGAGAUUGAAGAGUGUAUAUAGGCAAAAUGUUGAGGGUAAGUUGAUAGAGUAUAUGUUUGUAUGUUUGGAGAGUCAAUCAUUUCUUCAUCGUUCUUGGGGGUAUUUAUUGGAGAGGGUCUUGUGAAGGUUGUUAACAUGCUAAAUUUGCCAUCUAACCAUCAUUACGGAACGUGUGGGGAGGAUGUCUAUGAUGGGAUGAGAAUGCCUGUGAUGAGACAGAUCUUGUUAUUCAUUAUAAUACAAUAGUGCAGAGUAGUUGAGCUCACACGGGAGUUGGUAACCAACAAUAUCACGUUUUUAACAAAAGGCCAAGGGUUCAAAGUAAUGAGUAGUUCUUGUUUGUCUAGAUAGUUAGGACGAGAGAUGAAACUUGAGGCAGCCUUCCAAUUGGUGGUUGGCAAAUUUGUUGCCUAGGUGACCUUCUAACUUGUCACGUGUCCUUAUUCAAGUAGGAGUAUAAUAAACUCAAUUUUUUAAAGAUGUAAAUUAGUUCAAUCUAAGUUAAACAAGUUAAUUAUAAAAAUUAAUUCACAAAACAUUUAUGUUUUAGGAUUAUUUCCCAAGAUAUUUAUGUUUCUUUUUCUUUUUGAAAGGUACUUAGAUGGCCUAUCAAUAAGAACUUUUUGAACUUUAAAUCCUAAUCUAUUUUUUUUAGACACUAAACUUUAAAUUAAAAUAUUUAAUUAACUUUUAAAGAGCCCACUUUUAAAACAAAAAAGCCUAUGAAAUAUUGAAACCUACGCAACAACCCUUUGAAAUAUAAUAAAAAGCCAUGACAUCACAUGCAUACAAAACUUAUAUAAAUUUAAAAUUUUUAAACACAGUUACGAAGUCAUAAAAAUACAAACAGUCUUUUAAUUAAAUAUGGUAGGUGCAUUAAUUAAAUCUCAAUGCCCACCGAAGUUGACUUAAAGGAGUUGAUAUAUAGGAUUGAUAAAUCAGUUUUUAUGGGCUAUUUUACCAAUCUAGCCUAAAAAAAUUUGAUAUUUACAAAAAUGAUAUUGAUUCAAAAACAUUUACUAAAAUAACUUGAAAUGUACAGUAAAAUUAAGUUAUGAGAAAUAGAUAGCAGACACCACUUUUUUCUAUUAAAAAAAUAAUUUUUGAGGUUUUAGACACUAGAUAUGUAACACCUCCUAACUCUAAACCGUCGUCGGAACAGGGUUAUGAGAUAUUACCGGACAUAUCAAAUAAUUUACAAAUAAUUCUUAAAUAAAUAACCAACAUAUUAUAAUAAUUCAAAAAUUCAUAUAAAUUUUACUAAUUGAUUUCAUUCAUUUUUUUUAUAAAAAUUUCGGCAUCAUUUCUGCUUAUUUUUACAUAAAACCCCCUGCAAAAUUUCAAAACAUAACUAACCCAAUUCCAAUAUUUCAAUCAAGGCAUUUAUAUACUUAAACCUCACUUGACAUAUUGACAUAACAACUUAAUUAAUAAAAAUCCUAUUAUCAUUUCUAAUUAACUCAUAAAACUAAUCAAGUCAUUUCAAUUCGAGACCAAUGCCAUAAAAGACUUCUACUAUUUUACUAAUAUAAUCAUCAAAACACAUAAUAUCUUACUUUACAAUAAAACUAUAUAACAUACCAAAAUAACUAUUAUAAUUCUUAUGUACAUGCCACUUUCAUUUAAGGAAGAAAACAUCAUAGAAAUCUCUAUGCAGGAGUCGAGAUUGACCUGGAUGCUAAAUCGAGACUCAGACCCCUUUUUCAAUCCGCGCACAGAAACAACCAUACGCUGAGUAUUUUACACUCAGUAGUAUUACCAUAAUUCAAAUUAUAAUAGCAAUAAAGAAUUAUAAUUACGAAGCAUGUAACUAUCCGAUUUCUUAAAUAUCAAUUAAUUCAUAAACUUUCAUUAUUUAACAAUAGCAAUACAAUUUUUUUUAGCUAUUCUUCAUUCUCAAUCACAUAUCACAUGUAGCAAUUUCAAUCACUACAUAAACAUUAAAUUCAUGCAUUUUAUUUUCAAUAUCAAUUUCAAUUUGAAAUUUUAAAUUUUCUCAUAUUCAAUAUCACAAUCGAUCAAAUUCAUUUAAUUUUCUCAUUUCAAUUAUUCACCCUAUUAACAAUCUGGACUUUGACGGAUACAUGGAUUCCAACCCAAACACACUAGUACAGCACAUUGUGCCUAAAACGGUACAUAGUACCUGAUCAGUAUACGACACAUAAGUGCCUGAAACGACACACGAGGUGCCUGAUACGACACAUAAAGUGCCUGAUCGGCAAAGCCGAUAAAUCCCGUACUCUUCCAAAUCCUAUGGCAUGCCAACUAUAUCCGACUUAGCCCGACUAGUUAAUAGGGUAUUCAAAUUCUCAAUUCUCUUUGAUUUUCAAUUCAAGAUCACUUUUCCACUUUCUAAUCAAUUAACAAUUUAAUAUCAAUACAUAUUUCAAAUAAUCACAUAUAAUCAUAUUUCAAUUCAAUUCAAACCACUUUUCAAUCAUUACACAAUUCACAUAUUCACACAUAUUCAUAAAUUAAUUCACUUUAUUUAAUUCAUUUUUUAAAUCCAUUUUUUAAUCAAAUUCAAAUCACUAAAUACUUUUUAAUCAAUAUACAUUUCAAAUACUCACAUAUUUCCAUCAUUCAAUUUAAUUUGAUUCAAUUCAAGUCACUAUUAUCAUUCCAAUUGCUUACCUAAUUUUACUUACCAUGCAUUUUAAUUAAAAUAUAACAAUUAAUAAUAAAUAGAUUUGAAUUAUAGUAAUACAAACCCGAAUUUGCUCGAUUAUUCCUCAACGACCUUCUUCUUCCCUUUUUGUGGCGAUACCUCGAAUUAUUUAUUAGCUACGAAAAUUAAAUAAUUAAAUAAUUAAUUACAGCACAAAUUUUACAAUAAAAAUAAAAUUUCUAUCAAAUUUUAUAUUUUAAUUCCAAUUUAAUCCUAACUAGAUUUAUCUACUUUUCUAAUCUAAUUCAUACUCUAUUUCUAUUCAAAUUUCUUAUAAACUCAAAUUUAUCUACUAAUUUUCAGCAUUUUUCACUAAUUUUGAAUUUUCCUCAAUUUAAUCCCUAAAAUUCAAAACUUAUAGUUUAGUUUAAAAUUCAAUCCUUUAUUCAAUUCCAAAUAAAAUUUCUAUUAAAUAAAUCCUCAAUUCCAUCAUUUAUUCAACAUAAACCCUACUCAAAAAUCUAUUAACUUUCAAAUUUUCAACUUAAAUCCAAGAGUAUUUCAUUCUAGGAUUCCAAAAACAUCAAAUUUAUGAGAAAAGGACUUGAUUUAGUUUACCUAUUAAACUUCAAGCUUCAAAAUCUCAAUUUUCCCCCUUUCUUUUCUUUCCCUUUUCUUCCCCUGUUUUCGUCUCUUUCUCUGUUUCUUUUCUGUUCUUCUUCUCUUUUUCUGUUCUUUUAUUUCAUUUGUUUUCUUUUACUUUUUGUUAUAAUAAUAUAAUAUAUAAUAAUUAGUAUAAAUAUCUUUUACCACACAUGUCAUAUUCAUAACCAUACAUUUGUCUUAAUCUUAUUUAUUUCACAAUAUAAUAAUAUAGAAUAAUUUAUGCCGCCUCAAAUUUGGCAAUUAGCAUUAUUGCCCAUUUGACCCCUAUUAUUUUCCUUUAAUCUAUAAUUAAACUUUCACUUCUAUUGUAAUUUAAUCAUUUUUACUAAUUACUCUUAAUUAGACUAAAUUCACCUAAUUAAUACCUAAUUAAGCACUAAAUUAAACUCAUGAUUACUUUUAAUAAUUAUUUUCGAACUCAAUUUACUAAGACGGAGGCCCGAUAUUAUACUUUUCCGAUGCCCGUGAAUUUUUGGGUCAUUACAAGAUGGUUGGCACAAUGUAUUUUUUUUCAAAAAAAAAAUUUUUGGGUACUGGCACACUGAUGGCCGGCACCCCUUUAUCUGAUUAAAAAAAUAUUUUUUGGGGGGAAAGUGGUGCCGGCCAACAAAGGGCCAAAAUCACCCAACAAAAAAAAUUGGAAAUAUUUCAACAUAACCCCUCCUUGUUUUCUCAUCUUUUUUAUUUCCCAAAUUUAAUUACAUAUUUUAUAUUUUAAAACAAUAUUGAACUACUUAUCAUAUUUUUUAAUUAUUAUUGCACCACUCAAAUUAUUAUUAAAUUUAAAAACUACUUUAAAAUAUAUUGAACUACAUAUUUUAUAAAAUUUAAAAUUUUCAUGAUUGAAUUUUUCCAUCUUUUUGAAUUUUCAUAUUUUUUAAAAAUUUUUGUUUUUAUUUUGUUAAAUGUAACUUGAUUGUUGUUAAACUCAAGUAUAAAUAAUAAAUUAAGCCUAAAAAAAUAUAUUUAUUUUUAAAAAUAUUUAUUAAUUUUAAUACUGAAUUUUAUAAUUGUGAAAAUAUAUUAAAAUGCUAAAUACAAUAUCCAAAAUGACAGUAAUUGAUACUAAACUAGUUAAUUUUCAAAUCAAUAAUUUAAAAUUAAUUUAAAUUUAAUAUGCACAAUCAAAUUAUAUGUUUUUUUUAUAAAAUUAGAAUAUGCUUUUAUGAUUUUCAUCCUUUAUAAUAAUUCAAAUAAAUAUUGCUAAAUUAUUUUUUAUUUUAAAAAAUAAUGAGUAAUAUAUUUAUAAAAUAUGUAGUUCAAUAUAUUUUAAAUUAAUUUUUAAAUUUAAUAAUAAUGUGAGUGAUGCAAUACUAAUUAAAAACAUGAUCAUAUUAUUUUAAAAUAUAAAAUAUGUAAUUAAACUUGGGAAAUAAAAAAGAUGAGAAAACAAGGAGGGGUUAUGUUGCAAUAUUCCCAUUUUUUUUGUUGGGUGAUUUUGGCCCUUUGUUGGCCCACACCACUUUCCCCCAAAAAAUAUUUUUUAAUCAUAUAAAAAAGGUAUCGGCCAUAAGUGUGCUAGCAUCCAAAAAAAAAAUUGAAAAAAAAGACAUGGUGCCAGUCAUCUAGUGUCCAAAACCUCAAAAAUUAUUUUUUAAUAGAAAAAAGUGGUGCCGGCCAUCUAUUUCCCAUAACCUAAUUUUACUGUUUAUUUCAAGUAAUUUUGGUGAAUGUUUUUGAAUCAGGGUCAUUUUUAUAAAUGUCAAAUUUUUUUAGGUUAGAUUGGUAAAAUAGCCGUUUUUAUAAUAUCAUCAUUCAUUUUAUUAUUAAAAAUUAAUAAGAUACUUUUAAAAAUUAUGGUUUAUAUAUUUUUUAUAUUAGAAAAUUUUGAUAAUUUAUUUUUUAUUUUACAAACUACCUUAAAAAAUUAAUAUAUUUUUAUUUUUUUAAAUAUUUUAACAACAGUGUAACCAAUAAUUUCAUUACAUUUAAAUAAAAAUAUCUUUUCCCCACCCUUGAAAACUUCAAUCAAGACUUCAUAAAAGACCAGGCCCCCUUGUUAGUUUACAAAAAAAGGGAGCUUCGGAAAUGGAAGUGGAGUCUGUCCUUGCUUUGCUGUUGAUAAAUGCCCUUGCGUUUUCGCAGCUUAAUCUGGCAGUUGAGGCGGCUGAGUCUGUUCCUCUAUCACCAUCGGAUGAUUUCUCGAAAGAGUUGAAAGCUUUGUCUAGGAGGAGUCGGCGAAUAACUCCACCAUCACCCAGGAUUAAUGCUCCUGUUCACUUCAAAAGGCCUCCUCUAUUACCUCGACCUCCUCCGCCGCCACGGUCACCACCACCUCCAUGUCUGUGGUGUCCACCUACUCCGUUUGGAUAAGACGAUUGUUUCCCAGAUUUCACACAAUUGAUGAAGCUCUCAUGUCAUCAGCUUUUGUUUGUAAAUUGUAAAACUUUAAAGUGCUUGUAUGUUAGCAGCAAAUACCAGCUUUGUUUAGCUCUAAUAAUAAUUAAAUUUGUAAUGAUAAAAAUAAUAAUAUGUUAAAUACAAAAAUGAAUAAAUGUAUGCAUCACUUUCACUUAAACACUCGUUAAGAAAUUGUUUAAUAAGUAUCCCUUGUCUUCCCUUCCCAUCUCUUUGAAGUCUCCCGACCAUCUCUAUAUGCAGCAUAAAUGAUGAGCAGCUCCCCAUCAACGAGGACCUGGGUCCUCAAAGGCCAACUAAAAAACAACAAUCUCUACGUCUAUGGAGCCUGGACUGCAGAAACUGAGAAACCUCCAAUUCCAAGCUCCCUGGUUCGGUGCGAAGGGCAUUAAAUACCCAACCACCAUAUUUAUAUUGGCCACUCCACUCUAGAGGUGAUCAUGAACCGGGACAGGUCCGGUUUGAGUCAGGUCCGGAUAAAAUUUUAAGUCCAUUUUAUAGGUCCGGACUCGACUCGGCCCGAAAUAUAGGUAUAAAAAUUUGUCUAAGCCCCGCUCAAAAAAAUUGUUAAGUCCGAACUCGACCUAGCC
rnacentral:lncRNA from 1 species